UUCUUUUCUCCCUCUCGGCCGCGUCCUCUCUUUCUCUCCCGACCUUUCUUUCUCGUCUUCCCUCUGCAACCACCGGAGAACACCAUCUCCGGCCUCCAUCUCACCACACGGCCACCACCUCUCGUCACUGCUACCACCAGUCAAACCACAAUCCAAAUCCGACCAAAACCCAAGAGAAAUCAAAGCCAUGCAUCAGCCCCAACCUUCACACUACUUCACACUCGAUUUCCAAACCUACGAAAUCACUGUUCAUCAUCAUUCUCUGAUUUCCGGCCAUUUUCUUACCUCAUUGCCACCAUAGCUCUACUCAGCAAGCAACAAGGAGCAAAACCCAGAAGUCUCGACACCCACCAAAGCCGGAAAACGACAUACGAGCUUCGCCGGAACCCAUAGCUCUACAUGCCUACGUUCUCCUGUCUCCAGCUCGAAUCGAGCUAAACCAUCUCCGUAGUUGGAAUCAACACCUCUCCUUUGACCAUAACCCCAAGGCUUCGACCUCUGACUCCGAUCAGAGUCACCGCACGCGCCGCCACUGGCGCGUGGGCACCCCAACGCCGCCGUGUAGUAUCGCCGACAACCCCUCCUUGUUUCGGUAAGACGAUCUCAAAGCCCUCUUAGUUUAUUGAUUAAGUAUUGAUCCAGAUUGGAAUGGGUUGAUAAUUUUGAGUUCUUUGGUUGGUGUUCUUGAGUGUUGAACAUGUAAGAAACGAUGGGAUUAUGAAGAAAAUGGGGCAGCUUCUGGUCAUUGCUUCGAUUUGAGUUUUUAAGGGGAUGGUGAAGAAUAGAGGACUACAAGGAGUAGCACAUUAUGGAGAUUUUGGGUCUCGGCAGAGCAGGUAUGGGGUGGAGAUGAAUACCCAAGUCAAGGAAGGUUAGCCGAGGCUACCAAAGGAAGGAGUUGAAGAGAUUAUGAGAAAGGGGACUCGAGCGUGUGCACAUGAAAUUAGAAGAAGUAUCGAAAGUCGGAAACGAAGCUAAGUUUGGGCGAGCACUCCAAUUCCAGAGCUCCUUGCACCAACAUUGCAUCUUCCUUGAGAGCUGGGCGAGGUCGCGGAGGAAGGAGUCAAGAACCUCGUAGCGAAGCAUGGUGAUUGACUUGAAGCAUAUAAUCUCACAAGCGUACGAAUCAUGUCGAGUAAGGGAAAUAUUUGGGCCUUAGUUUAUUGUACCUCGGGGAUUAGUGCCUAACCCACAAUCAUUGGGUGAUCGGAAAUAAAGAGACUUAACAAACAAAAGAAGAACUAAAUAAACAAAAAUUCUACUCUAACCAAUGCUCGGUUUUGGUUUUCACCAAAGCCUAAUCAAAACUAAGAGUUUAGUGGUGGAUAUGCACAAAUGAGUGGAAGAGUUCAAUGUUUGGGAGUUGAUUUUAACUUAACACAAAGUAAUGAAAUGUAAAGCAAUAAAAAUAAAAAUAAAAAUGAAAUGUAAACAAUAAAAAUGAGAAUGUUGGCUGCUAGGGAGACUCCUUCACCUAAAUCUCAUGUGUUGGAAGCUAAUCUAAUGUAGAUGCGAAUUUCCUACUUUGGCGGUAGUCGUAUUCAAGGAGCGAGGUUCAAGGCUCAAGGACCAAAAUUCUCUUUCAUGGUAUUCCUACUCCGGUUCAAGGGUUGUAGGAACUCACUUGACAUGAAUUAGAGAUAGGUCAAGGGUCACUAACUCACACUAAGAGGCCUAGAGAUCGAGGAAUUAUACUACUAAGCGACCUGCCCAAGCAAUCACGCAACGGGUGUAAAUCACUAUGCUUAUAAGCCCUCGAAUACUAAAUUGAACAUUUCUAGCUUAGGAAUUAGAGGGGGUCAAGCCUCUAACUCCGUCCUAGAAAUGCUCAAAAUACACACCCUAGAGUUGACUAGGCUCCUAGACAUGCAUUUCAACCCAAUAAUAAUUGAUAUAAGCAUCCAUAAUAUAAAAUUGCAUCAUUACAUUAAAUUAAACAUCUUUUACACAAGAUUUGGGUUAGGGCACACAACCUUAACCCCCAACAACGAAAUUACAAAAUUCAAAGAGAAAAGAGUAUAGAAGUGUAGGAGAAAACAAGGGUAUCCACAAUUAGCUACAAAGCUAACAUGAGUAUCCUUGAAUUAUAACUCCCACAAUUACCCCAAGUCUUGAAUCUUGUAGAGGAGAAGCCUUUGAUGAAUCCUUGAAGUUUUGGCUGAGUCCUUCAAUUCUCUAAAAUAAAACUAACACAAAUAUGGAAAAUGGAGAAGGAGGAGAGGAGAGGGCAGCAGCCCUUCCCUAAGAUUGUUUGCGGCGCUGUUGGUGAUCCCCCAUAGUUAGGAUCAAAAUGAUGAGGGUUAUCUCUAUAUAUCUGAGAACAAAAAUAUGAUUGGUUUGGGCUGUAGCGGGAAGAAGGGAAUGGGUUUGAGAGUUCGGUGGGCCGCAAGGAUUGGGUGGGUUUGAUUAAUUAUCUCUAGGCGUGUAUUUUCAACAGAGUCCAAUGGGCGGUCAGUGAAGAAAAGAAAAAGAAAGAAAAAAAAUGGAUAAGGCACGUGGUGGUGGUGAAAAGAAAUGUGAACGUGCAACAUUCAUAAUUUCAUUCAUCUCCUUAUUUUUUUUUUCUUUUCCUUCUUUGAGGUUGGCCACAGUUGACCGCGUAAUUUCGUCAUUUUGCUGAAAAUUCCAUUUGCUUCACUUUUGCUCAUUUUUCUCAAUUUCUGCAGCUCCGCUUAUUUCCUACAAAUAAAUAAAAGUAGAUUAACUACAUGUUAAUUGACUUAAGGAUUAGCUUAAUUCACGUGUUUAGAGCAACUCCAACAGCUUCCCUAUAUUUUUUGUAUUAUAGGAAAGCAAAAGUCAAAGCUUUAGCCUCUUUUUCUUCUCCAACUCCAACAGAUUCCCUAUUUUAUAGCAAUCCCUAAAAUCUCCAUUAUUCCUCCUUAAAAUUUUAGAGAUUGCUGUAAAUUUAGGGAAUUUGGUUUUCUCUUUCCUCACUUUCUCUAAAAUGGAGAUAGUUAUAGGGAAUCUGUUGGAGCAAAAGAGACUCAUUUUUCCCAAAAAUAGAUAAAAAUUAAAAUAUAGGGAAGCUGUUGGAGUUGCUCUUAUAAUGCAAUUACAUACAUAAAAAUGCGUGUAAUCAGCGAUGAGCUCGUCGGAGCAGAGGGUUUUGCUGAAGUAGACGGCUGUUACGUCCCGAACCUAAAUUUACCUGUUUACUAGUCAUUUGGACGGUAAACGACAAUUAUUUUCACCUUUUACUUUGUUCGAUACUUUCAGUGGCCCUAAAAGUUGAUUUUUUUUUUUAAUCAUUUUUUGAGAAAAUUUCCUUCAUGAAAGUCGUAGAGGACAUUAAACCGAGUCUGUGCAUAUGUGGUUUGUUAAAAUCAAAGUUCAUAUGCGAAAGUUAUAAGUGAAAUACUAAAGUUACUGUUGGAAGUAAGUGGUAUAAAUUUAAAAAAUUACUGUGGGUAGGUUAGUUCUGACCUACCCGGUAACUCUCUCUCUCUCUCCUCCCCCGAGCUCUGUCUCUCCCCGUUCCACUAUUCACCACUGCAACUCCUCUGUCUGGCCACCUGAGUGCGUGCCACCAGCACCGUUUGAUUCCUUUCUUCAUCCUCAACACAUCUGCGAUGGAAGCUCACGGCGUCUUGGCCGGAAAACGGAAAACCAAGGCUGAGAAUUUUACUGUAGCAGAAGAGGUCAACAUCGUUUUCUUCCAAUUCCGGCCACCACAGGCGACCAAACUAGGUUCUUUGGAAGCGCCUUGGGCCAUCCUUCAUGCUCCUCAAAUCUCUUGCAACAAAUCGAAGUGUGGAAGGGGAAAUCACGUCGAGAAAUUUUUCUGCACUAUUCCCCGUCAGAUUUUUAGGGUUGCUUGGUUUCCGGCCACUUCAAGGACGAGGUACCGACUCAUCGCUCGACGAGGAUCCUUACGCUUGGGUACCACGUUAGCCGUAUACUGUGAGUGGACUUUUGAUUUUAAGUGAUGCAUGCGGUUAUUUUUUCCGAAUUAUUGAUUUAAGUAUUUACCAUUCUGUUAUAACUUGACCAUAUAUUGAGUUCGGAAAUUGACUUUGGGUUAUCUCGUGAUUUUCACUUUCAAUGAUGAUUUUUGGAGAUUGAUUAUGAUUCAUUUAGGUUACUUUUUCGGAAGUGGAUUUUGUAUUACUAUUUUGUGUGAUUUUGAGUUCCGAUGAUUUAUCUCUGAUUUAUAAUUAUUAUUUUCGACUUAUGUCUUGUUGACGGAUUUUUGAGUAUUCUUUUGGCGUGUGGGACACGUCGUUGUUUCAUGUGAUUUAUCAUGCGAUUUUUCGAGUACUGUUGGGAAUCGUACUCGUGUUUUCAUUUGCGAGAUUUUGGGGAAGCUGUACUUGUUUUCAGUUUUCUAUUGUUUUCUUCACCAUGGGUCAAUUUAUUUAAUUCUCCUCCUCACGUGGGUGUAGUCGAGCAUUCUUAGUACUCCUCCCUACUUACUAUGUGUUUGUGGGUGAGCUGAGCAUAGAGCCUGGGAGGCUCUGAUUCGAGCUUGGGAGGCUCCCUUCAUUGCAUGGUGAUAUUUUCUUCCCCAUAUUAUUUUGUUACUUGACUAGUUGUUAACGUUAGUGAUCCGUGGGAUCUCUAGUUAGCUUUAGAGAGAGAGAGAGAGAGAGAGAGAGAGUGACACGAGAUGUAUAGUGGUUCAUCUCCCGCCUUAGCGGGAGGCUACGUCCACUUGAAUGUUUAACUAGUGUGUUGAGCCUUGCGGCCCAAGGGGAUUACAAAAGAUGUAAUGGGAUGGAGUUUAAGUGGGAGGAGGCAUUCCUUUUAUAGGUGAAGGAAUGCUUCUCCUUUACAUUUUCUUAGAUGUGGGAUAUUAGAAAUCACUAUUCUAGUCUAGAAAACAUGUUUGUGAAGGCAACUUGCAAGGCCGGAAAGGUGGCUUCCCGGCGACGGAUUUGUGACUUCCAGAUACCGUAGCGUAGCUUGAACAUAGGGCUACAAGAUGCAAGUAGCGGUUGGGCCUCACCAUGGCUUGUGGGUGUCCCAAAGAGGGUGUUAAUUAUGCUUGGUGAGAUAGCAAACUAGUCUUGCUAGUAGAGGUAUGUACAAGUCCCCGAAGUCCCCAAGUAAGAGGAGCUUCUUGGUUGGGGAGUUAUACACAUGAUGUCACCAAGCAUAAGUAACCGGGCGGUACGGGGCCCCUACAAGUCCCCGAACUCCGUAAGCAAGAAGGGACUCGUUAACCUGCACGACAAAGACAAAAAAUAGGCAUAUGUAGAAUGCUUGUUGCAUUGGGCAACAAAUGUGAGUUGCAUUGAUAUGCGUUGGCAUAUACGAAUGUAUGAGGUGCGUGAUACAUGGUCGUGUGAGCAUAUGGAUUGCAUAUGAUAAAUGUGUGACGCGCGCAAGGAGACGAACGAGGUCGAGUUUGACGGGGUUACGCUCGUGAGAUGUAAGUUGCAUGAGUGCUGCGAAGGUAUGCAUUUGUAACUCAUGAACGAUGACCGCGCGUACGGUUGUGUCUGUUUGGUUUUCGCUCGUAUUAAUGGAACGCGAAAAGAAUUUGAUUUGUCGCAGUCGGUAAACGACAAAUGGUAGAAAAAUUCAAUGUUCCAUUAACGUGUGGUGUGUCGAGUAGACAUGAGCGUAAAGCUCGAGGAUUGCCGGGAAGGCAUGAGCGGAAAGCUCGUGAGCGGGAAACUCGGGGUUGCCGGGAAGGCAUGAGCGGGGAGCUCGUGGGUUGCUGGGAAGGCAUGAGCGGGAAGCUCAAGGGUUGCCGGGAAGGCAUGAACGGAAGCUCGGGGUGCCGAGAAGGCAUGAGCGGGAAGCUCGUGGGUUGCCGGGAAGGCAUGAGCGGGAAGCUCGUGGGUUGUCGGGGAGACAUGAGUGGAAGCUCGGGGUGCAUUAGUAAUACAUGGUGUUAGGUUGAUUGGAGAUGAGAAGUGCAUUCAAGUGGGCCUUAUGCCCCGCCAAAAUCAUUCCUCUACUACCUGGGCAUGUGUGAAAAGAAUUACCAAAAGAGUGAGAAAGGAGCCUGAUGUUAAUACUAGAACUCUUGGGCCAUGUUCUAAACCUUGAUGGAAGACUUGUGGUUGAAAUUGAAUUCUUAUAAGUUGCUUGAUUUCACAUUUUACACCCUAACUUGUAAAAAUCAUGUUUUAUACAAACAUAGCUAUACUUGGUGCCAUAUACUUUUAAUCUUAUUCAAUUAUUGUAUUUCGUUUAUUGUAUA